rnacentral:rRNA from 1 species
UAUUGCACAAUGGACGAAAGUCUGCUGCAGCGACGCCGCGUGAGGAAUGACGGCCUUCGGGUUGUAAAUCUCUUCCAGUCGGGAAGCAGCGUGAUAGUGACGGGACCUGCAUAAGAAGCACCGGCUAACUACGUGCCAGCAGCCGCGGUAAUACGUAGGGUGCAAGCGUUGUCCGGAAUUAGUGGGCGUAAAGAGCUCGUAGGCGGUUGGUCACGUCUGCUGUGAAAGCCCGGGGCUCAACUCCGGGUCUGCAGUGGGUACGGGCUAACUAGAGUAUGGUAGGGGAGAUUGGAAUUCCUGGUGUAGCGGUGGAAUGCGCAGAUAUCAGGAGGAACACCGAUGGCGAAGGCAGAUCUCUGGACCAUUACUGACGCUGAGGAGCGAAAGCAUGGGUAGCGAACA